rnacentral:rRNA from 1 species
AGUGAACGCUGGCGGUAGGCCUAACACAUGCAAGUCGAACGGCAGCACAGUAAGAUCUUGCUCUUACGGGUGGCGAGUGGCGGACGGGUGAGGAAUACAUCGGAAUCUACUUUUUCGUGGGGGAUAACGUAGGGAAACUUACGCUAAUACCGCAUACGACCUACGGGUGAAAGCAGGGGAUCUUCGGACCUUGCGCGAUUGAAUGAGCCGAUGUCGGAUUAGCUAGUUGGCGGGGUAAAGGCCCACCAAGGCGACGAUCCGUAGCUGGUCUGAGAGGAUGAUCAGCCACACUGGAACUGAGACACGGUCCAGACUCCUACGGGAGGCAGCAGUGGGGAAUAUUGGACAAUGGGCGCAAGCCUGAUCCAGCCAUACCGCGUGGGUGAAGAAGGCCUUCGGGUCGUAAAGCCCUUUUGUUGGGAAAGAAAAGCAGCAGGUUAAUACCCCGCUGUUCUGACGGUACCCAAAGAAUAAGCACCGGCUAACUUCGUG